GAUGAACGCUGGCGGCGUGCCUAAUACAUGCAAGUCGAGCGAACAGACGAGGAGCUUGCUCCUCUGACGUUAGCGGCGGACGGGUGAGUAACACGUGGAUAACCUACCUAUAAGACUGGGAUAACUUCGGGAAACCGGAGCUAAUACCGGAUAAUAUAUUGAACCGCAUGGUUCAAUAGUGAAAGACGGUUUUGCUGUCACUUAUAGAUGGAUCCGCGCCGCAUUAGCUAGUUGGUAAGGUAACGGCUUACCAAGGCAACGAUGCGUAGCCGACCUGAGAGGGUGAUUGGCCACACUGGAACUGAGACACGGUCCAGACUCCUACGGGAGGCAGCAGUAGGGAAUCUUCCGCAAUGGGCGAAAGCUUGACGGAGCAACGCCGCGUGAGUGAUGAAGGUCUUCGGAUCGUAAAACUCUGUUAUUAGGGAAGAACAAAUGUGUAAGUAACCAUGCACGUCUUGACGGUACCUAAUCAGAAAGCCACGGCUAACUACGUG
rnacentral:rRNA from 1 species